GGAAUAUAGUUCAGUUGGUAGAGUGCUUGCCUUGCAUGCAAAAGGCCCUAGGUUCAAUCUCUAGCACCA
rnacentral:tRNA from 1 species